CGCCUGAUGCAAGUGUAACAAAAAAAAAUCCGUCUAUUGCUCAAAUAACUAAAAUAGAACAUAAAUUGCUAGCUAUGAUUGAAAUAGCAUCUCAAACCUGCAACUUAAUGUCAGAAAUCGAUGCUAGUAGUGAAGACCUAUUGGCUAUACUAGCGAAGGAUUAUGUUGGCCUGACCGAGGAAAUUAGAUCAGGGCUGCGUCCUUACAUAGAUCAGCUGGCCGAAAUACCGCAUACUCAAAACUCCAAUUUACCUGCCUUCACCAGAAAGGAGGCUGAGCUUGCAUCGGCCAAAACGGAUCUGAUAUUGCAACAACUAAAAGAGAUAUAUAUUGAAAAGUGAUAUUUUAAUUAUUUAUCUACAAAUUCAUUUUGUCUAGAUAUACAAUACUAU